GAGCUUGCUUCUCUUGAGAGCGGCGGACGGGUGAGUAAUGCCUAGGAAUCUGCCUGGUAGUGGGGGAUAACGCUCGGAAACGGACGCUAAUACCGCAUACGUCCUACGGGAGAAAGCAGGGGACCUUCGGGCCUUGCGCUAUCAGAUGAGCCUAGGUCGGAUUAGCUAGUUGGUGAGGUAAUGGCUCACCAAGGCGACGAUCCGUAACUGGUCUGAGAGGAUGAUCAGUCACACUGGAACUGAGACACGGUCCAGACUCCUACGGGAGGCAGCAGUGGGGAAUAUUGGACAAUGGGCGAAAGCCUGAUCCAGCCAUGCCGCGUGUGUGAAGAAGGUCUUCGGAUUGUAAAGCACUUUAAGUUGGGAGGAAGGGCAGUUACCUAAUACGUAAUUGUUUUGACGUUACCGACAGAAUAAGCACCGGCUAACUCUGUGCCAGCAGCCGCGGUAAUACAGAGGGUGCAAGCGUUAAUCGGAAUUACUGGGCGUAAAGCGCGCGUAGGUGGUUCGUUAAGUUGGAUGUGAAAGCCCCGGGCUCAACCUGGGAACUGCAUUCAAAACUGACGAGCUAGAGUAUGGUAGAGGGUGGUGGAAUUUCCUGUGUAGCGGUGAAAUGCGUAGAUAUAGGAAGGAACACCAGUGGCGAAGGCGACCACCUGGACUGAUACUGACACUGAGGUGCGAAAGCGUGGGGAGCAAACAGGAUUAGAUACCCUGGUAGUCCACGCCGUAAACGAUGUCAACUAGCCGUUGGGAGCCUUGAGCUCUUAGUGGCGCAGCUAACGCAUUAAGUUGACCGC
rnacentral:rRNA from 1 species